rnacentral:tRNA from 1 species
GCCUGGGUGGCUCAGUUGGUUAAGCGACUGACUUCAGCUCAGGUCACGAUCUCACAGUUUGUGAGUUCGAGCCCCGCGUCAGGCU